rnacentral:tRNA from 3 species
AAUCCGUCGACCUGAAAAAUCGUGAGGGUUCAAGUCCCUCUAUCCCCAAAAAG